UUUUUUGAAGAAUCUUUUUUUUUUUUUUUUUUUUUUUUUUUUCCUGAAGGAACAAAGGCUCCGCAGCCUGACCUCUGCCUGUUGGCCCCGCAAGUAGCUCCUGGCCAAUUCCAAACAAACGUUACAGAUGGGGAGAGCUGUGAAAGGGAUUACAAGUUCAUAAACAAUGUAAAAACCUGUGCCUGGACGGGGGAAGAGAAGGGAGGGACUUUAGAGAUCCAGAAGCAUGGUCCAGGACAUUUUUUUUUUUCAUUUUGUUUGGAAAAGAUAGGCUUGAAAUUACAACAGGGAGCCUUUACAGGCCCUGGAGUUAGAGAAGUGCAGAGCUCAGGAAAAAUCCCAGAUGACGACCUGGCCUCAGCAUCAAGGAUUUCCUCCCUGAGAUGAGCUAACUGUUGCUGCACCCCCCAAAUGUCCGUGGACCAGCUGAAGCGUUGUGAGAUGCUCCUGAAAAAUGCCCCAGCUCUCCCAGACAGACAAGUCCCUCUGAUGGCCACCAUAGCUGUGUCCCCGGUACAAAUACAGCCAUCAAAGGGGGCAGGAGGGAUCUGCAGACGACACAGGAGAGUGGUGAGAGGAGCAAAACUCACAGCUGCCAUCCUCUGCCUGGGUCCUGGAGUCAUCCCUUUGCCCUGGGGAGAGGGAAGGAGGCAGUUGGUACCUAAACAACUUGGGGUGGAGUGAAACAGUGCUGACCAUCAGCCACUGAGCCCCGUGUUACAAGUGAGUCCAUCCACCCAUCUGUCCAUCCAUGGUGAGGUUAGAGAUGACUCUGAUGGGAGUAUUUAGAAGGCUGGCACAUCAGACUGGUUUUCGAACUGUAAAAUUAAACUUCAUUAAAUUUUCAACAGGUUUCUUGCUCGUGGGCAGUCUCCUCCGCUCCUGAUACUGUGUAACUUGCUUUCUUUGUUUUCCCAGCCAUAUUCCUCACAUUUUAGGGGGAAGCUCUGCCUUUUUGCAGCCACUUUGUGCUUAUCCUGUCCUCCCUCUGGCACCUUUUGUUUCCUGGGUGCACCUCCACCACCCCAGCCUGCCCCCUUGCUGACAGCAGCACUCACGUACACCAAAUCCCAUCUGAGCAUGCCACCGGCGUUACAAAAACCUGCGUGUGAAACAGAUCCACUAUUUUAUUAGGCUCAAAGCAAGUUAAGAGUGUUUUUUUUUCAGUGUGUAUAAUUCACAGGUGUCUGCGUUGGCUGUGCAGGCUCUGUGCACGGCUGCAUUGCUGGCUGCUCCGCUUUGCAUUUCGUCUUUAUGGGGUGCAAGAACCGGGGCUUCCUUGGCAUCAGGGCCAGGUUUGCAUCCUCCCCUCUCCACGCUCAGCACCCACCCGUGUCCCACUCGGUCCCGAAGCCUCGGAGCUCCCCCGGCAGAGGGCAGUGACAGACAGACGGACGGACAGACACCCGCACAGCACAGCCAAGCGCUGGUUUGCUCAAUUUUGCUUCGGCCAGGGAUGCCGAGCCAGUUAAGCUGCAGCAUAAGCCGCAUACUGAGCUGCUUUGCUGGGCUGCUCGGGAGCUGGCAGGAUCAAGGCUCUGUCUCCCGUUUCCCCAGCUGACGGGGAUGGUGCCGGAGGCUCCA